UACGGGGGGGGCAAGCGUUGUUCGGAAUUACUGGGCGUAAAGGGCGCGUAGGCGGUUGGAUAAGUCAGCUGUGAAAACCACGGGCUUAACUCGUGGCCUGCAGUUGAAACUGUCUGGCUUGAGUGUGGGAGAGGAGAGUGGAAUUCCUGGUGUAGCGGUGAAAUGCGUAGAUAUCAGGAGGAGCACCGGUGGCGAAGGCGGCUCUCUGGACCACAACUGACGCUGAGGCGCGAAAGCUAGGGGAGCAAACAGG
rnacentral:rRNA from 1 species